rnacentral:rRNA from 1 species
ACUCCGGUUGAUCCUGCCGGACCCCACUGCUAUCGGGAUGGGACUAAGACAUGCUAGUCGUGCGCUUCCAAGCCACGGUGGAGGCGCGGCGCACAGCUCAGUAACACGUGGCUAAC